GAUGAACGCUGGCGGCGUGCCUAAUACAUGCCAGUCGAGCGAACAGACGAGGAGCUUGCUCCUCUGACGUUAGCGGCGGACGGGUGAGUAACACGUGGAUAACCUACCUAUAAGACUGGGAUAACUUCGGGAAACCGGAGCUAAUACCGGAUAAUAUAUUGAACCGCAUGGUUCAAUAGUGAAAGACGGUUUUGCUGUCACUUAUAGAUGGAUCCGCGCCGCAUUAGCUAGUUGGUAAGGUAACGGCUUACCAAGGCGACGAUGCGUAGCCGACCUGAGAGUGUGAACGGCCACCCUGGAACUGAGACACGGUCCAGACUCCUACGGGAGGCAGCAGGAGUGAAUCUUCCGCAAUGGGCGAAAGCUUGACGGAGCAACGCCGCGUGAGUGAUGAAGGUCUUCGGAUCGUAAAACUCUGUUAUUAGGGAAGAACAAAUGUGUAAGUACCUAUGCACGUCUUGACGGUACCUAAUCAGAAAGCCACGGCUAACUACGUG
rnacentral:rRNA from 1 species